rnacentral:rRNA from 1 species
GACGAAGGAUGCAAGCGUUAUCCGGAUUCAUUGGGUUUAAAGGGAGCGUAGGCGGACUUGUAAGUCAGUGGUGAAAUCUGUGGGCUUAACCCACAAACUGCCAUUGAUACUGCAGGUCUAGAGUACAGUUGCCGUUGGCGGAAUAUGACAUGUAGUGGUGAAAUACUUAGAUAUGUCAUAGAACACCGAUUGCAAAGGCAGCUAACGAAGCUGUAACUGACGCUGAGGCUCGAAAGUGCGGGGAUCAAACAGG